CAAAGUGAACCUCAGGACAACAAAAGAAAACGCAUCUAAGAGAAACAGAAUACGGCCCAAUUUGUUUCUGUGGCAUGCCAACCUCACGCCUUUCCUUCCUGGUACAUAAGUACCUUUGAUCCCUUUACGAUUCCACCUUCACCUGCCAUGCCAGAUUUCAAAGACAGAACAAUCAUCUAGUUUGGCAUCAAGAGAGGGAAGUCGCUUUUUCAUGUCUGUAUGGCCACAUUCACUUGUUAUGACCUUUACGUGGUGCCGAGGAAAGUGGUCACGUGCCCAGCAUCAUAUAUGAGGAGCACCUACCGAAGGGCCUCAGGCAGAGGGGUGACAGUGGCGCCCCCUCUUGUUCUUUCAUUUUCAGGGUGUUGACAUUGCCUGAAGUUUACACCUUCCACAAAGUGUCUUGUCUGGUUUUAACCAAUUAACUCUCUUAUUUGGAAAACAAGUGGCUUAAAAGAGUCCUUCAAAGAAAUCGAAGAUUAAGAUAAAUCUGAUAAUGCACUCACAGGUGAAAAUCAAGAUCAAAUCUGCCACUUUCAGUUCUAAAAGUUUUUCCAGCCAUACGGAAACAUGAAAACAAUGGUAGUCUAAUUGGAUCUGACAAGAAAUAGGUCAAAAACAUUCACAAUUAUUCAAGACUACUUGCAAUCUGGAUUUCUAUGAACUAUCAUUAACGAUGAAUUCUGACCUGAGCAUAUAUAUUGCCAUGAGAUAUUAGCUAUUGAUAGAGUAUGAUAUCAUCGUGAUUAGCAAGAUAUUUUAUUCUCUUCAUCUUCAUCUCAUUCUUUCCUAACUUCUAUUUUGUGUAUGUUUUAUCAUGCAC